CGGAGGCUUAACACAUGCAAGUCGAGGGGUAGAGGUUGCUUGCAACCUUGAGACCGGCGCACGGGUGCGUAACGCGUAUGCAACCUACCUUUUACAGAGGGAUAGCCCAGAGAAAUUUGGAUUAAUACCUCAUAGUAUAUGUUUUUCGCAUGUUAGACAUAUUAAAGUUCCAACGGUAAAAGAUGGGCAUGCGUCCUAUUAGCUAGAUGGUAAGGUAACGGCUUACCAUGGCAACGAUAGGUAGGGGUCCUGAGAGGGAGAUCCCCCACACUGGUACUGAGACACGGACCAGACUCCUACGGGAGGCAGCAGUGAGGAAUAUUGGACAAUGGGCGCAAGCCUGAUCCAGCCAUGCCGCGUGCAGGAAGAAGCAUCUAUGGUGUGUAAACUGCUUUUGUACGGGAAGAAACACUCCUUCGUGAAGGAGCUUGACGGUACCGUAAGAAUAAGGAUCGGCUAACUCCGUGCCAGCAGCCCGCGGUAAUACGGAGGAUCCAAGCGUUAUCCGGAAUCAUUGGGUUUAAAGGGUCCGUAAGCGGUUUGGUAAGUCAAUGGUGAAAGCCCGCAGCUCAACUGUGGAACGGCCAUUGAUACUGCCAGACUUGAAUUACAAGGAAGUAACUAUAAUAUGUAGUGUAGCCGGUGAAAUGCUUAAAUAUUACAUGGAAUACCAAUUGCGAAGGCAGGUUACUACUUGUGGAUUGACGCUGAUGGACGAAAGCGUGGGGAGCGAACAGGAUUAGAUACCCUGGUAGUCCACGCCGUAAACGAUGGAUACUACUUGUU
rnacentral:rRNA from 1 species